CAUAGGGCAGCCCAAGAAAAUGUUAAGCAGGUCCUUCGUGACUACUAUUUCCCGAAAAUGACCAAACUUGCUAACGAGGUGGUUAUGAACUGCAGAGUCUGCACCAAGGCAAAGUAUAACAGACACCCAAAAAAACAAGAGCUGGGGGUCACCCCUGUUCCGUCAUACGCCGGAGAAAUGCUGCACAUUGACAUAUUCUCCACAGACAAGAAACUUUUUUUGACCUGCAUUGACAAGUUCUCAAAGUUUGCCAUCGUACAGCCCCUCUCUUCCAGGGCUAUAGUAGAGGUACGAGCCCCCAUUAUACAAUUGAUAAAUUUUUACCCGAAUACCAAGACCAUAUAUUGUGACAAUGAGCCUUCCUUCAACUCCGAAACAAUUACCUCUUUGCUUAAAAACCAAUAUGGCAUCGACAUCGUAAAUGCACCCCCUCUACAUAGUAGCUCCAACGGGCAAGUAGAGAGAUUUCACAGCACGUUGGCAGAGAUAGCAAGGUGCAUAAAACUCGACCAAAAGAUUGAGGACACCGUCGAGCUAAUCAUGCGCGCCACUGUAGAAUACAACAGGACGCUACAUUCGGUCAUAGACCAGAAGCCUGUAGAAGCAAUCCAUGUAAGCAACAACGAUCUGAAGUUAGCAAUUAGAACCAGAAUUGAUAAGGCACAAAAGGCCAAUAUCGACAGGUUUAACAUCUCGAGGCAGAACAGAGUCUUUGAAGUGGGUGAAAAGGUUUACCCAAGGAAUAACAAAAGACUAGGGAACAAGCUAACCCCGCUGUACUCAGAAGAACGGGUACAAGCGGACCUUGGAACGGCAGUUCUAAUUAAGGGGAGGGUGGUCCAUAAGGACAAUCUGAAAUAAUUCAAACUUUUGUUUUACAGAUUUAAGGUAUCAUUCCCGCAGGUUUGACGGAAUACUCUUCCUACUCCCUUCUACUACAACUGCGCGGAUCACCGCCUUUUAUACCGUUAAAAUGUUGGAGUUGUUCCCACAUUCAGAUAUAGAACAUAAAAAAAUCCGUUGUCCGCUUUAAUGAUACAUGGCCAGAAGCCUAGACUUCCUGAUAACAGCA
rnacentral:lncRNA from 1 species